rnacentral:rRNA from 1 species
AGCGAACGCUGGCGGCAGGCUUAACACAUGCAAGUCGAACGGGCACUUCGGGUGCUAGUGGCAGACGGGUGAGUAACGCGUGGGAACGUGCCUUUCGGGUUCGGAAUAAUCCAGGGAAACUUGGACUAAUACCGGAUACGCCCUUCGGGGGAAAGAUUUAUCGCCGAAAGAUCGGCCCGCGUCUGAUUAGCUAGUUGGUGAGGUAAAGGCUCACCAAGGCGACGAUCAGUAGCUGGUCUGAGAGGAUGAUCAGCCACACUGGGACUGAGACACGGCCCAGACUCCUACGGGAGGCAGCAGGUGGGGAAUAUUGGACAAGUGGGCGAAAGCCUGAUCCAGCCAUGCCGCGUGAGUGAUGAAGGCCUUAGGGUUGUAAAG